rnacentral:rRNA from 1 species
UACGUAGGGUCCGAGCGUUGUCCGGAAUUACUGGGCGUAAAGCGUGCGCAGGCGGCUUCUUAGGCAUACGGUGAAAGCCCCGGGCUCAACCCGGGAGGGUCGUCGUGAACCGGGGGGCUUGAGGCCGGUAGAGGUGGGUGGAACGUCCUGGUGGAGUGGGUGAAAUGCGUAGAGAUCAGGAAGAACACCCGUGGCGAAGGCGGCCCACUGGGCCGGUACUGGACGCUGAGGCACGAAAGCCAGGGGAGCAAACGGG